rnacentral:rRNA from 1 species
AUUGAACGCUGGCGGCAUGCUUUACACAUGCAAGUCGAACGGUAACAGGCCGCAAGGUGCUGACGAGUGGAGAACGGGUGAGUAAUGCAUCGGAACGUGCCCAGUCGGGGGGGAUAACGCAGCGAAAGCUGCGCUAAUACCGCAUAAGAUCUAUGGAUGAAAGCGGGGGACCGUAAGGCCUCGCGCGAUUGGAGCGGUCGAUGUCAGAUUAGGUAGUUGGUGGGGUAAAGGCUCACCAAGCCAACGAUCUGUAGCUUGUCUGAGAGGACGAGCAGCCACACUGUGGCUUGCACACGGCCCAGACUCCGACGGGAGGCAGCAGUGGAGAAUUUUUGACAAUGUGCGCAAGCCUGAUCCAGCAAUGCCGCGUGCAGGAAGAAGUCCUUCGGGUUGUAAACUGCUUUUGUACGGAACGAAACGGUCCUGGUUAAUACCUGGGGCUAAUGACGGUACCGUAAGAAUAAGCACCGGCUAACUACGUGCCAGCCGCCGCGGUAACAC